UUUAACAUUACAUUUCUCAUUUUUUUUUACUUUCACUCACCCUCUAUCUCUCUCGUUCACUCUCACUCUCCCUCCUUCGCUUCUCUUUCUCUCUCGUUCGCUCUCCCCCUCUCCCUCCUUUGCUUCUCUUUCUCUCUCCAUCAUCGCCAUCGCUGUGAGCUCCAUCAUAGCCAUUGCUGUAAGCUCCGUCAUUGUCGUCGUAGUGAGCUCCAUCAUCGCUGUCACUGUGAGCUUUGUCCUCCCAUGAGCUUCAUCCUCCACCGUUGUUCAAAAUUAGCUCAAAUUGAAGGUGUAAUGAGGUUUGAUUCUCUUCAAUUUUGAAUAUAAAUCCUUAAUUUCAUGAUUCUUGUACUAUAAUCAUUAAUCAUAAUUCUCUAUUUUCACUUUUUUUCUAAAUAUUCUACCGAUUUUCAAAGUAUGUAGAAAUCCCUAACCUGUGAGUUUUUUUGUUAAUCUCUGUUUAAGGAAAUAAUUUUCACAUAUGUCAUACUAUGUUUGAUAUUACUUUGGUGAUUCUUGAUUAUUUUUAGGUGGAGGUUAGAGGGAAUUGUUUGUUUUGAUGUUUAUCUAAGAAUGUGAAAUUAUUCUGGUUUUAAAGAAUUAGCUAUCACUAAGUCCUUUAUUUGCUUCCAGUAUAUUUUUCCAUUAUAUAAAGUUAUCUCCUUUGCAAAUUAAAGAUCUAUUUAGAAUCAAUUGUGCUUGUGCUGAUUCUAUGAAUACCUUUUAGUUGUUGUUUGCUUUGGUAAGGGUAAUGAAUUUGUCUAAGGUAAUAAGUAUGUUGUUUGUAGGAUUUUAUAUUCAUGUUUGUGUCACUAUGCUUUAUCAGGUAAAUUGAAAUUUUAUUAGGCUCAAGCAAUAAUUUUCAUGUGUGUCGGAUUAUACUUGAGAUUAUUUUGGUGGCUCCAUCGUAUUUUUAGGUAGAGGUUAGACGUAAUUAUUUAGAUUUGGUUGUGAUAUUUAUCUAAUAAUAUGAGGUUGUUCUGGUUUUGAUGUUUAUAACCUCAUCUCAGACAAAAGGAAGUCAUUCAUCCUCAUUGGGUUAUGAUGGGAAUAGACUCCAUUGAGCCAGUUCUUAUUCAAACUAAUAAGUACCAAUUUAUACUGCUAUAGCCUUUGUUUCUCCAUAAUCAUCAAAGCCACCGCUCUCUUACUUGACACCAGAUACACCACUUAAGCUACCUAGCUACUAUGCCAAUGGAUCUAGAGCUUAUGAGCUUGAUGCUUAUUAUAAGAACUCUUCAAAUGUUAAUGUUGUGCAUGGAGUUUUUGUUGCAAGUGCAUUACAUAAAGGGUGGAAGUAGAUUGUGCUUAAGAACAAUUUAGACACCAUUGAUGCUUGACAUUUGGAUUUAUAUAGCUUCUUUGUUGUUGGUAAGUGCAACAUAGGAACCUAUUCAUCAUAACAAUGGAUCCUUCUGGUUUGUUAGGGCAAGAAAUGCAUGGGAUAUCCUUCUAGUUUGAUUCUUCUUUAGAUGUUUGCUUCUUUUUUUUCAAAAGAAUUAAGCUCAAUGUUUGCAUGCUUUAACCAAGUCCUUGAGUAUAUUUAUAUACAAGCUGUCAUUAUUCAUGAUUGAUGCACCUACACAGAUAACAUAACUAUUAUCUCUUAAUCAAAGUGAGCAUGUGGUACCUGCAUUGAUUUCCUUCAAAAUUGGUAAUCUUGUCACAUCUAUUCCCAACUUGGUCCUAUAUUAUAUGUAAUAUUCUGUAGGAUAUGAUGUUGGUGACUAUUGAAAUGAGUUUGAGUUGUAUAACUGGCAUGUCUUCCUAAUGUUAGCAGUCAUAAAACCUCAUUAGUCAUCACCUACAUUGGCUCCUUUGCUGCGACAUUAUCAUAUCUCAAUUAUUAAAUUGGUGUUGCUUGUGCUUCAUAGAUGUCUGUGCUACCACAAAAAAAUAACAAUAAGACGAAUAAUACCCAUUGUUAUUCCUAUUGUGAAUCAUCUAUGCAUAUUUUGUUAUUUGUGACACUAGGCAGAGGACACAGAGAAGCUAACAAAUACAAUAUUCUUACACAGGAUAAACGCUGCACUUUGACUACAUGUCAAAGUAAACACCAAACUGUUUAUCAUAGAAUCAAAUAUUAAUUGCAUUUUCCUAUAACAUAUUAACCGCAUUAGUAAAAGCUAAAUUGGCUGAACCUCUAACUUUGCUAGAACACUUAGAUGGCCAUUUAAUUGACCAUGGAGUAGGAAGCAACAUAAAUUCACAUAACAUAUUUGCUAUGGAGUAGCCUAAAAUAACAGAAAAUUUGCUAUGUAAAUUGUCAAUAACAUACCAAAUACUACCUUGAAGUGUAGGCAAAACUGUAAAUUAUUUUUUAACUAAAUGACUUUUUGUUUUCAAGACUUUGGUUGCUGACAUACUUUAAUUCUCCAAAGUUUCUGGUGCUUGGUCUAUGCUUCUACCCUAGUCUUUAAUGAUAUGGGGUACUACUUCCAAAUUUUGAAGUGUUUUCUUUUGGCAGGGAUCUAUCAUCAAAUAAUCUUACUGGAUUGAGUGCUUGAGAAUUAUGUUGAAAGAGAUCACAUAUAUUUUCACAUAACUCCACUAUUAAAGUUGUAUGAAACAUAAGCUUUACAUUUUGUUUCAAUAGUUUAGAUAAAUUAUGUUACAAAAUGAAGCUUAUGGUAAUGUGUAAUAUACAGUUCUAAUCUAGUACCAAUCAUGUGCAGCUCUCACCUGGGGCAUGAUUGAAAUCCAAUGACACAAUAAAGGAUUAGUAUCAGAAAGAACAUAGGUUAUGGUACACAAGGGAGUGUCCUAGCAAAAUAGAAUGGGUUGCAAUAGUAGACACUAGCCUUAUCUUAAAAGAAAAUGACAAGCAC
rnacentral:lncRNA from 1 species